rnacentral:rRNA from 1 species
GAUUUCUGGUUUGGCGCACUUGGCCCGUCGCGGUUACGUGUAUGUGUGCCGGUGUGCGCCUACCAUCCAUCUGGAGAAUGUUGGCGCCCUUCACUGGUGUGGUCAGCAAGAUCCAGAUCUUUUACUUUGAAAAAAUUAGAGUGUUUAAAGCAGGCUUGUGCUGUGAAUACAUUAGCAUGGAAUAAUAAUUUAGGACUUUGGUCUUAUUUUGUUGGUUUCUAGGACUAAAGUAAUGAUUGAUAGGGACAGUUGGGGGUGCUAGUAUUCAGCGGCCAGAGGUGAAAUUCUUGGAUUCGCUGAAGACUAACUUAUGCGAAAGCAUU